UACGGAGGGGGCAAGCGUUAAUCGGAAUUACUGGGCGUAAAGCGUGCGCAGGCGGCUAUGCAAGACAGAUGUGAAAUCCCCGGGCUCAACCUGGGAACUGCAUUUGUGACUGCAUGGCUGGAGUGCGGCAGAGGGGGAUGGAAUUCCGCGUGUAGCAGUGAAAUGCGUAGAUAUGCGGAGGAACACCGAUGGCGAAGGCAAUCCCCUGGGCCUGCACUGACGCUCAUGCACGAAAGCGUGGGGAGCAAACAGG
rnacentral:rRNA from 1 species